rnacentral:lncRNA from 1 species
UGGAGAUGCCUUCGGCGGGGACCCUCCGAUGGUCAAAUCAGAGAGGAGACUAGGCAACAGUGAAAAAAAUCACGGGGGCUUCGUGGGAGAAAGAGAGCUUGAGAGAGAGCUCUUUGAGAGCUUAAGCUUACCAAAACUGUUGUUUUACCCCGUGUUAUAGUAGAAUGCGGUAUGGUCCCGCCAUUAAUGGUGCAUACAACUGGAGAGUUGUCAAAUUAUCGGGGGCUGUCAAAUCGGCAUGGGUUGUCAGGUCAUCAAAAUUAAUUCAUGUCCUUGGCAGGAUAAUGCCCCAUGACGGUCGUACAGUAUGUCUUUGGCAGGACAACAGUCCAUAGCGGUUGUAUGGCAUUUGAUCGGGCUGGCCGACUAUAUGUCGGUAUUCGGCUGUCGGGACGUCGAGUGAUGACUCGAAAACACCGUCGGCUGAUCUGGUGCCUUGUGAAAGUCGGACGUCGGCCGCCACACCCGACAGUGAGUCGGUGAUAUGGGUUCAGCCAUUCUGCCGGUUGGAAACAGUAUUGGUCUGUUCGGCCGGCAUACCUUCGGCCGGAUAUCGUCGGCAAUCAUUGUCGGAGUCGUCUGUCCGUCCGGUGGAUAGAGUCGGGCAUCAGUCAGACCGUUUUGAGGAUAAGUCGACAUAUAGGGGUCAGCCGGUAUAUCCCAACAGGUUUAAUACUUGCGAGAACUUGAACUGGAAGCUGGGAUGCAAUUUAGGUGUGUUGUGUAAUGAUCAUGUGGCAAGAGUGGAUCA